UUGUUUAUGGGCGGCAACCUCACGAGGGGCGUCCCAUCCUUAUUGGCUCAUUGAAGCGAAGAGUGGCAUGAGAACAACCCAAUAAUAGGAAAAGAUAGAGGGUUCGCGAUGUGAGGCGCCCAAUGUGGGCCUUCUGCCGAAGAGGUAGGGGCGGGGGGAAGUUUAGGAGUUGAGGAAAGAAGAUUAAAGAGCGCGAGGAGUUGCCGCUUCCAAGAAGAGGAGCUGAGGGGGACUAGCCUGGGCUCAGGAGCUACUAGAGGCGCCCGCUUGUCUUCCGCCCCCUCCCUUCUCGCCCUCCCCCCGCUUGCCGUGGCUCUGGCGGUCUCUGGAGCGUCUUCUGAGAACUGGGGGGCGGGAGGGGUCCUGGCCCCAGAGUCGCUGGACGCCCCUCCAGACGCCCGAGCUACCGGCCGCCGCCUGCUUCGCUGCUACGACUCUAGAGGAGGGGGCUUGGGAAGGGAAGACACUCCUUUCCUUCUUUCUCUCCUCCUGUGGGCCCCCGUGGAAACAUUAAAAAGAAAAAAAAAAAUGCUUACGGUUUUCACUAGCCGAGAGAAAUGGUUGGAAGCUUUUUAAAAGUUUGCAAGAAAUGCACUGUUUUACAUUGUUUAAUGCAUUACUAUCCGUGUGGCAUUCUGGUCUUUUCCCGCCCCACGCCCCGCCCCUCUUGAAGCUGUUAUCCUUUUUAAGGAUGCUGAAGAGGCAGGAGGCAGGGAUUUUCUAAAAGUUCUAUUGAUAAACACACUUGCACAAACAUAUGCUAGGCACACAAACUAUAAACAUGAGCGGAAAACACAAUAUGGCGUACAGCUACCCUACCUAGCGCGGUAAUCCGCUGAUCUCUUAAGGCAGCCCAGUUGAAUGGGGUCAGUAGCAGGAUGACAGUUCUCCAAUAAAAAUCUGAAUGAAGCAGGAAGUAAUUUGGAAGCAGCCGGUGGGUUAAGUACUGUCUUCAAAAUCAGCAUUGGCCCAAGAUAAGUUGAAUUUGUUAAUGUUCUAGACUUGUGAAAAUUGUCUCAGCUGCUUCUUAGCAUUAGAAAAACCGAAAUGUUGCUCAAGUGGAGUUUUCUUAUUCUGUGGUCAUGUGCAAAUUUCAGCCAAGAAAAUGAACAGAGAACAAUGUUUCCAAGCAAACUCUAAAGUUACUGUUGUUGGUAUUGAAAGUUUUAAAACAUGAAUUAUGACUGCUUUGUAAAAAAACUUCUCCAGCUUUACACAUUAAAUAAUCUGUUAUAAUUGUGCAUGCGUGCAACAAAUUCAUAAAUGACUUACUUUCCUAUCUGUUGCUCCUAAUACCAUACACCCUUCGCUAUCACUUGGGAAUAGUUAAAAUAAACCCUUCCACCCCACCACACCCCCACGUAUAAAUUUGAUCAGUCCAAUUUUGACUAAGUCCUGCAUUUCCCUUGUUUGUAGGAAAGAACCACAUCACCAGUUUACAUUAUUUUUUUAAAUGCCCUUGUUGCUCUUUGUCAUUCUUAAUCAGAGUGUAUCGAGUGCACAUAUAGUACAUGGUAAUACCAUUCACUGUGUCUUCUUGGGAGUAGUCUUGAGAAAUUUUGAAGUUGCCCUUGAAGAACUGCUGAUGUUACUCAUUGUUUAGCUGUCAAGGCUUAAGAAUACAUGGUGCUCAAAUAAACAGAUGAGAAGAAAAAAAGUGAGUUUUCUAGAAAUAUAAUUAGCUGCCCAGUGAGUUUAGCAGUUGGGUAUUUUGGGCUUUGUAAAAUCAGAUAUCAUAGACCAGGGGAAUAAAGGCCAUUUGCUUAUGAAGAUCAGGUGACAAGUUAACUGGCUACAGCCUCCAAAGCAAUACGCCCUUUCAUGGUGAGAUCCCAGUUUUAACAGACUGAAGAAAGAAGUUUAAAAAUUGUCAAAUUUUAUCCAGUUUUAGGAAGAAGUUUUUGUGCUUACCUGUUUAGUUCAUUUAAGGUGCCAGUAUUUUAAAAUUCCUACUAUACCAAGAAAAUAGGUAGUUAAUGCGUAUACUAGCUACUAGUAAGUGGCUGCUGAAAGACUAUGUGUUUAAGUGGCUACUGAAAGACUAUGAGUUUAAAUGGAUUACUAGAGGAAAGAACGAUUUACAUGUGAGGGUUAUAAUUUUGGUGUGUGUGUAUGGUGGGAGGAAGAGGGACGUUGUUCAGAACUACUGUUAAUGUGAUGCCAGUGUCGGAAGUGGUCAGCAAGUUUUUGAGGUUCACAAAUAUCCAGCUAUUCUUGUCAAAUUAAUAUAACUUUUAUUACUCCAUAUAGGAAUAAAGUCCAAAGGUGGGGGAACAUUUUAAAUGAAUUACUUUUAUCUCAGUAGUCAAGUCUUCAGGGACUUACUUGGUGGCUCAGACGGUAAAGAAUCUGCCUGCAAUGCAGGCGACCCUAGUUCGAUCCCUGGGUCAGGAAGAUCUCCUGUAGAAGGGACUGGCAACCUACUCUAGUAUUCUUGCCUGGAGAAUUCCUUGGACAGAGGAUCCUGGUGGGCUACAGUCCGUGGGGUCGCAGAGAGUUGGACACAACUGAGCCACUGACAGACACAGAGUCAGUCUUCAGGAGACUUUCCAACCAAAUUGGAAUUCCCAGAAAAAAAUUAGGUCAUUUCAGAAGAUUAAUAAAAGAUACAACUAAGUUCCUGUAGAAGGAUCUAAAAUUUAUAAAUGAAUUAUAACUUAUUCCAGAUAUUUUACAAUAAAUGAUAAGAGAUUCUUCAAAACAUUUGGAAUAUAGAAGUGUAGCUUAAUGGGC
ensembl:lncRNA